AGCCGUGGUUUGCCGACCACUGGUCUGGACACAGCUGAGAAUCUGGACACACUGCCUUCCUGUUGGUCCUAGACAGAAUGCAGCCUUCCGACACUGACAGCCACAUGCCCAAAUGGAGAAAUGGUUUCCUCAGCAUUUCCAGAAAAAGAUCCCCCUCCUACACUCUUGUUGCCUGUCCCCAUCGAAGCGCAGCCCUCCACGGGCACCCUCCCUGGACGGACGCCCUUUGGGAGGGGCAGGGGCAGAAGCAGGUGUGGGCUCACAGGGUGGGGAGAGGAUGUUGUAGCCCAGCCUCAGGCCCAGCCCACCCGAGACACCCAGCCCUGCUUCACUUCUAGGACUUUGAGGGUUCCUGUGUGGACCUGGGCUCUGACCUGGGUCCACACAUGGGCUGCAGGGCCUGUGAAGGUCAUGAACUUGUUGUAAUGAUGGGACCAGGGCAUGUGACUUCACUGAGUCAUGAGGGGACACGGGUGGAGGGCCUGACCUCAGGCCAGUUUCUGGGCGAGGGGGUUCACACCCACCUGGGCCCCAACCAGUCAGUCCUCUCCAUGGGGGAGACUAAGACCUGUCCAGGACCGCUGGGUCCCUGCCCCACACCCACCUGAGUCAGGCCUGACUGGUCUGCAGGCAUUCCUGGUGUGAAGGCGGAGCUGGGGUCCCCCAUGAGUCCCCUUCCCCUCGUGUGUCCGCACUCCACUCCCCUAUUAAAUCUUGAUUUGUUUUCAGCCUGCCCCUCCAUUCUGUUCUUUUUCUCUCUCCAUUUCCCUUGGAACUGAAACCAAAUGUUAUAAAACUGAGUCUAAAAGCCA